AACACUCUUGACGUCAAGACAGCCUGGAGAUAUUAAAGUCUGCUCUGACACUUGUGUGUUACGAGAGCGAAAGCAGAGACCCGGCGAGGAGGAUUACAGAGCAGCCGCCCGCUCACUUCGAACUUUGAUGGACUCCAGAUCUUAGAGUUGCGAGGAUUCACCGCUGGAAGAAUGAGGAGUCAGGCGAUGUCUUUGCUAUUGGUCCUGAGUUUUUACAGCAUGUGUUCAAUGUCUUCAGUGCAAACAGAAAUAAUACCAUCAGAAGGCAAACUUCUGGAUCGUCUUUACAGCCUAAAGUUGUUUCAGGGUGACCAAGAUUAUGGUGACUAUGAAGAUUCAAAAUAUGAGAAAGAGAAACAAAUGAAACGAAGAUACCCAUACAUUUUGAAAAG